ensembl:lncRNA
CGGGUUCUGAUUUGUGUGGUCUUUGGCCCAGCCCAGACUCGUGUUGCUGAGAGAGCAGGGAUUGAAGGAAAAGAGACUCUGCCACACCCUAAAACCAGCAGCUGGGAUGGAGCACAUAGGUAAUCAAACAUCUUGCUUUGCUAAUUGCUGCUCAAUCCGAUUAAACACCGCUGAAGCUCAUCAACAGAGGUGGAGCCCCCCACAGGUGAUUUGUAGCUGAUGCCCCCACAGUGGCAGGAACCAGGACGAGUCAUUCCAUGACAUGAAGAACUGAGGACUUCCAAAGAGAACACAGGCCAAUGGCUGGAAAUCGAAGCCCCACCCCAGCUCCCCAC